rnacentral:rRNA from 1 species
GUAGGUGGCAAGCGUUGUCCGGAAUUAUUGGGCGUAAAGCGCGCGCAGGCGGUUCUUUAAGUCUGAUGUGAAAGCCCACGGCUCAACCGUGGAGGGUCAUUGGAAACUGGAGAACUUGAGUACAGAAGAGGAAAGCGGAAUUCCACGUGGAGCGGUGAAAUGCGUAGAGAUGUGGAGGAACACCAGUGGCGAAGGCGGCUUUCUGGUCUGUAACUGACGCUGAGGCGCGAAAGCGUGGGGGAGCAAACAGGAUUAGAUACCCUGGUAGUCCACGCCGUAAACGAUGAGUGCUAAGUGUUAGGGGGUUUCCGCCCCUUAGUGCUGCAGCUAACGCAUUAAGCACUCCGCCUGGGAGUACGGCCGCAAGGCUG